CCCUUCUCUUCUUCUAUUCAUAAAGCUCCACUAUUGUUUCCCUCAAACAUUUAUUUUAUUAUAUUUGUGAUAUAUUAUCCUUUUUCCUUCUUUGGAAGCCAUGAAUAUAUGUUAUAUAUAUGUAUGAUAUAUUGAGGCGCGUCUAAACCCUAGUUAAACCAUCUACGAGAAAAGAAAGAACCCUUCGUUUUGAUCAUUAUCAUAGUGGUCAUUCACAUCAAUGUUCAAACUAUAGACAUAACGACAACUUACCAAACUAGUUUUUGAUCUCCCCGUGAUUUACUAUGUGGAGAACCCCACUUCAUUUUGCUUGGAAUAUAAAUUAUUCAUAGGUUUUAUGCUUUCCACUUUAUUAGUUUUCAUUUGCUAGCAUUUAUAUGGCAGCACCCGGUCAUGCAUUGAUAGUGACUCCCAUAAUGAGAAUUUAAUUUGUGGUUUAGUUAUAGUGAUAUACCUAAACACCAACCUUAUAAGACCGACCUCUCCCUCUAGCUCCACCAUGAUCGUAUUUCAUAGCUAUGAUCAUGAAUCAUGCUUUACUUCAACAUGGGGACCUAAUAAUUGUUAUUAGGGACACAAUGGGACCUUAUAUAGGAUAUUUUUUAAUAUUGAAACAUCUUUUUCAUUCUUUUUGGUAGCUAGAUAUAGGUAGGUCUAUUAGAGAAUAUAGUUAGUCAUAAAUGAAAACCACUUGUAAUGAAUUUCAACCUUCAUUCAUAUGAACAUGGAUAUGAUCAAGUCAUGUCUAGUACAGUCCAAGGAAGAUAAUGUUAAUGAUAAUGAUGUUCGGGAUAAGGGGA